GGACUACCAGGGUUUCUAAUCCUGUUCGCUACCCACGCUUUCGCUUCUCAGCGUCAGUUACUGCCCAGAGACCCGCCUUCGCCACCGGUGUUCCUCCUGAUAUCUGCGCAUUUCACCGCUACACCAGGAAUUCCGGUCUCCCCUGCAGCACUCCAGUCCGCCCGUAUCGCCCGCACGCCGACAGUUGAGCUGCCGGUUUUCACGAGCGACGCGACGAACCGCCUACAAGCUCUUUACGCCCAGUAAUUCCGGACAACGCUCGCACCCUACGUAUUACCGCGGCUGCUGGCAC
rnacentral:rRNA from 1 species